GGCCGGCAGCUGUAGCUCUGAAUCGACCCUGAUCCUGGGAACCUCUAUAUGCCGCGGGUGUGGGCCUAAAAAGCAAAAAAUAAAGAUUAAAAAAAAUGGCACAGACAUUUCCCCAGAGAAGAUAGGUCGAUGCCCAACAAGGACCCAAAGAGAUUGCUGGUAAAGUGCAGGUCAGAACUGCCGCAAGAACCGUUCCCUCCUUCUCUGGGGAUUGUGAUAACACAGAAUUGCAAAAUGACAGGUGCUGGUGAGCAUGUGGAGACAUUGGAACCCUCAUGUGUGGCCGAUGAGGAUGUGAAACAGAGCAGCUGCUGUGGAAGACUGUUGGUUUCUCAGAAGGUUAAGCACCGAGUUCCCAGGUGACCCCGCAGCUCCAUGCCUGGGUCCACCCCUGAGAGAGCUGAACUGGAGAUAGGCCCUUGCCAGACCCCUGCCUGCCCGCCUUUGUUCCUGCGCAGUCACGGCAGCCGAGGUGGAAACGGCCCCCAUGUGACGACGACGACGACGGGUGAUGGAUAAGUAGAGUGUGGUCCCUCCACAGACCAGACACAGGGACCACUGUCAGGUAUUUGACCUGAGUUCCCUUGUAUGAAACGUCCAGAACAGGCACAUCCGGAGAUGGAGACCAGAGCGGGAUUCUCCCGCCGAGAGCUGUACUUUGGGGUCUCGGAAGCAACCCCCCACCCUCGGCAGGAGGAGCUGUUUCCUGAGAUGGCGAAGGGCGUGGACCCCUGGGAGCCACGUUGCAGCGCUACCGCUUCCCACAUGGCCUGUUCUCUUGGCAGCGCACGCACUGAAACUGGAAUGACAGAGGCAUGAGCAUGGCCCCUGUGCAAGGAUGACGUGCAAAUGUGUGAGUCGGCGUUUCCAGAAGAGUGAUGUUCAGAUGCCUGUGAGCGCCGCUGGGAAGGACCGCAGGCGGUGGGAUAAUAAAUCUGUUCCCGGCAAUCAGUGGAUAUGUCUCAACUCCACAUGGAGUUCAGCAGAGACCUUGAGCAGAUUUCAGACUGUCUCGCCCCCACAUGUCCCAGCAUUUUCAGUUAACCGCGUGGGAAGAAGUCGGCCCGCUUGCAGCAAAGGAGAUUUUUGUGCUGUGUUCAGACGCGGGCAAAUCCUAGCGCAUGUGCCUGGGAGCCUGAGAGGACCCCUGUGGGCAGAAGGACCUGGUCACGAAUGGGGGUGAAAGCCUCCCCAUUCUGCGGUGCCAGCCUCGGCAGACUCGGGACACCCGCCAAAAAGCGUUCCUUCCAUGCCCGCCCCCGAAUUUUAACGUCCCAGAGAGCCCGCCUUCUUGGAACACGCCCACGUGUGCACACAAACACAAGAGCCCACCCACAGGUGCACACACGUACCGCCCCGUCCCGAUUGUCCCGGGUUGCUCACAGUGCUGAGAACCUUGCUGUGUCCGGCAGAGACGCCAGAGGAAGUGAGACUCACCAGCCCCUGUGCUCCAGCCCUCUCUCCACCACUUUUCCACGUUCAAAAUGAAAACACUGGU